GACGAACGCUGGCGGCGUGCUUAACACAUGCGAGUCGAACGCUGAAGCUCAGCUUUUGUUGGGUGGAUGAGUGGCGAACGGGUGAGUAACACGUGAGUAACCUGCCCCCUUCUUUGGGAUAACGCCCGGAAACCGGUGCUAAUACUGGAUAUUCACUGGUCUUCGCAUGGGGGUUGGUGGAAAGGGUUUUUCUGGUGGGGGAUGGGCUCGCGGCCUAUCAGCUUGUUGGUGGGGUGAUGGCCUACCAAGGCUUUGACGGGUAGCCGGCCUGAGAGGGUGACCGGUCACAUUGGGACUGAGAUACGGCCCAGACUCCUACGGGAGGCAGCAGUGGGGAAUAUUGCACAAUGGGCGCAAGCCUGAUGCAGCGACGCCGCGUGAGGGAUGGAGGCCUUCGGGUUGUGAACCUCUUUCGCUCAUGGUCAAGCCGCAACAAUGGUUGUGGUGAGGGUAGUGGGUAAAGAAGCGCCGGCUAACUACGUG
rnacentral:rRNA from 1 species